rnacentral:rRNA from 1 species
GACGUAGGGCGCGAGCGUUGUCCGGAUUUAUUGGGCGUAAAGAGCUCGUAGGCGGCUUGUCGCGUCGACUGUGAAAACCCGCGGCUCAACUGCGGGCCUGCAGUCGAUACGGGCAGGCUAGAGUUCGGUAGGGGAGACUGGAAUUCCUGGUGUAGCGGUGAAAUGCGUAGAUAUCAAGAGGAACACCUGCGGCGAAGGCGGGUUGCUGGGCCGACACUGACGCUGAGGCGCGAAGGCCAGGGGAGCAAACGGG